rnacentral:rRNA from 1 species
GAUGAACGCUGGCGGCGUGCCUAAUACAUGCAAGUCGAGCGAACAGACGAGGAGCUUGCUCCUCUGACGUUAGCGGCGGACGGGUGAGUAACACGUGGAUAACCUACCUCUAAGACUGGGAUAACUUAGUGAAACCGGAGCUAGUACCGGCUAAUAUAUUGAACCGCAUGGUUAAAGAGUUUACGGCGGUUUUGGUGUCCCUUAUCGAUGGAUCCGCUCGGCAUGUACUAGUUGGUAAGGUAACGGCUUACUAAGGCGACGAUGCGUAACCGACGCGAGAGGGUGAUGCGGCACACUGGAGUUGAGACGCGGCCCUGACUCCGACGGGAGGCAGCAGCAGGGAAGGGAGCGAGAAGGGCGAAAGACUGACGGAGCAACGCCGGCCGGGUGAAGAGGGUCUUCGGAUCGUAAGACGCUGUUAGUGUUGAAGAACAAUUGUGUAAGUAACGAUGCGUGUCUUGACGGUACCUGGACAGAAAGCCCCGGCUAACUACGUG